AGCGAACGCUGGCGGCAGGCCUAAUACAUGCAAGUCGAACGCCCCUUCGGGGGAGUGGCGGACGGGUGAGUAACGCGUGGGAAUAUGCCCUAUGGUGCGGAACAACUGAGGGAAACUUCAGCUAAUACCGCAUGUGCCCUACGGGGGAAAGAUUUAUCGCCAUAGGAGUAGCCCGCGUUGGAUUAGCUAGUUGGUGGGGUAAUGGCUCACCAAGGCUACGAUCCAUAGCUGGUCUGAGAGGAUGAUCAGCCACACUGGGACUGAGACACGGCCCAGACUCCUACGGGAGGCAGCAGUAGGGAAUCUUGCGCAAUGGGCGAAAGCCUGACGCAGCCAUGCCGCGUGAAUGAUGAAGGUCUUAGGAUUGUAAAAUUCUUUCACCGGGGACGAUAAUGACGGUACCCGGAGAAGAAGCUCCGGCUAACUUCGUGCCAGCCGCCGCCGUAAGAC
rnacentral:rRNA from 1 species